GACGAACGCUGGCGGCGUGCCUAACACAUGUAAGUCGAGCGGGGGGAGCCGAAAGGUUUCUCUAGCGGCGGACGGGUGAGUAACGCGUGGAUAACCUGCCUUAAGGAUCGGGAUAACAGCUCGAAAGGGCUGCUAAUACCGGAUGUGAUGCAUUUAUCGCAUGGAAGAUGCAUGAAAGGGGAAACCCGCCUUAAGAUGGAUCCGCGUCCCAUCAGCUAGUUGGUAGGGUAAAGGCCUACCAAGGCGACGACGGGUAGCCGGCCUGAGAGGGUGACCGGCCACACUGGGACUGAGAUACGGCCCAGACUCCUACGGGGGGCAGCAGUGGGGAAUAUUGCACAAUGGGCGAAAGCCUGAUGCAGCGACGCCGCGUGAGCGAAGAAGGCCUUCGGGUUGUAAAGCUCUGUCUGGAGGGACGAAGAAAGUGACGGUACCUCCGGAGGAAGCCACGGCUAACUACGUGCCAGCCGCCGCCGUAAUAC
rnacentral:rRNA from 1 species